rnacentral:rRNA from 1 species
GAUGAACGCUGGCGGCGUGCCUAAUACAUGCAAGUCGAGCGAACAGACGAGGCGCUUGCUCCUCUGACGUUUGCGGCGGACGGGUGAGUAACACGUGGAUACCCUCCCUAUAAGACUGGGAUAACUACGGGAAACCGGAGAUAAUACCGGAUAAUAUAUUGAACCGCAUGGUUCAAUAGUGAAAGACGGUUUUGCUGUCACUUAUAGAUGGAUCCGCGCCGUAUUAGCUAGUUGGUAAGGUAACGGCUUACCAAGGCAACGAUGCGUAGCCGACGUGAGUGAGUGGUAGCCCACCCGGGAGCUGAGACGGGGUCCAGACUCCUACGAGAGGCAGCAGAAGGGAAUGGGCCGCAAUGGGCGAAAGCCUUACGGAGCGGCGCGGCGUGAGUGAUGAAGGUCUUCGGAGCGUAAAACUCUGUUAUGGGGGGAGAACAGAUGUGUAAGGAACUGUACACGGCUUGACGGUACCGGAUCAAAAAGCACCGGCUAACUACGUG